UACGUAGGGUGCAAGCGUUGUCCGGAAUUAUUGGGCGUAAAGAGCUCGUAGGCGGUCUGUCGCGUCGAAUGUGAAAACCCGGGGCUCAACCCCGGGCCUGCAUUCGAUACGGGCAGACUAGAGUUCGGUAGGGGAGUCUGGAAUUCCUGGUGUAGCGGUGAAAUGCGCAGAUAUCAGGAGGAACACCGGUGGCGAAGGCGGGACUCUGGGCCGAUACUGACGCUGAGGAGCGAAAGCGUGGGAGCAAACAGG
rnacentral:rRNA from 1 species